rnacentral:piRNA from 1 species
UGAAUUGUCUUCUAAUUCUAAAUCUGGUACU